UACGUAGGGGGCUAGCGUUGUCCGGAAUCAUUGGGCGUAAAGCGCGUGUAGGCGGUCCGGUAAGUCCGCUGUGAAAGUCGGGGGCUCAACCCUCGGAUGCCGGUGGAUACUGUCGGGCUUGAGUACGGAAGAGGCGAGUGGAAUUCCUGGUGUAGCGGUGAAAUGCGCAGAUAUCAGGAGGAACACCAAUUGCGAAGGCAGCUCGCUGGGACGUUACUGACGCUGAGACGCGAAAGCGUGGGUAGCGAAUGGG
rnacentral:rRNA from 1 species